AACCCAGUACAUCGCUGCAGAUAAUGUUACUACCAUUAAGACCCGACUCAAGACUGAAAUUAUGCAACCAGCAAGGCGUGCAUAUAACCAGGAGAAGAGAUGUCGUACUGAAACCACUCAGAUGCCUAAAAAUGCACAGCCCUCUGUUGAAAAGGGGAAGAAGUCUCUUGGGAGUUUCCUUACGACUGCUGUGGCCUCUUCUGUUUCUCCCAUACAACCCAAAGAUGUUGUUGAGGCAGAGUUAAAUAGCUACCUCAUGUCUCCUGUCGUUGAUGGAGAGGAAGACCCCUUGCCCUGGUGGAAGGUGCACAGGAUUUUCCACAACUGUGCAAUAUGGCUCGCAGGCAUAUUUGUGUCCCUGCCACAACUGCUCCUUCAGAGCGUCUUUUCAGUGCUGGAGGAAAUAUAGUGACUUGAACUCACUCCUCUUUGAAACAAACAAAAGUUGACAUGCUGAUUUUCCUGAAAAAAAA